rnacentral:rRNA from 1 species
UACAGAGGUCUCAAGCGUUAUCCGGAAUCAUUGGGUUUAAAGGGUCCGUAGGCGGUUUAAUAAGUCAGUGGUGAAAGCCCAUCGCUCAACGAUGGAACGGCCAUUGAUACUGUUAAACUUGAAUUAUUAGGAAGUAACUAGAAUAUGUAGUGUAGCGGUGAAAUGCUUAGAGAUUACAUGGAAUACCAAUUGCGAAGGCAGGUUACUACUAAUAUAUUGACGCUGAUGGACGAAAGCGUGGGGAGCGAACAGG